UAAGUAAUGUGAAUUGCAGAAUUCAGUGAAUCAUCGAAUCUUUGAACGCACCUUGCGCUCCUUGGUAUUCCGAGGAGCAUGCCUGUUUGAGUGUCAUGAAAUUCUCAACUGCCCCAGGCUUUGUGGCCUGCAGGUGAAGUUGGACUUGGAGGUAUGCUGGCGCAUGAAUGGGCUUUGUGCCCUGCCUUGCUUGUUGGCUCCUCUCGAAUGCAUGAGCUUUCCAAUCCUUGGCAAAGUAUCGUCGAUGUGAUAAUUGUCUGCGUCGCCCGAGAAAGCCGAAAGGGGAAAUCCUUGAUCACGCUGGGGUGACCCGUGUCUGACAAAUUCGACCUCAAAUCAGGUAGGACUACCCGCUGAACUUAA
rnacentral:rRNA from 1 species